AGAUGUGAGGGUAACCUGGCUGCAAUAUCUGUCACCCCAGAUCACCAGGGUUGAUUCAGGUGAUCUGCGUAGCUGUCCCCUUCUUCCCUCACAACUCAAUGUGUGUCGCUCCAAAAGCUCAGUGGAAGAGGAUAACCAUCCCAGAUAGAAGAAGUGUACCGAUCGUCGGUCAAGGUUAUUCGAUAGCUGUGUUCCCCUGCGAGAACUUCCAAACAACAAUUCUUCUAAAGCAGGGGUGGCAAACUGGCG
rnacentral:snRNA from 1 species